rnacentral:rRNA from 1 species
GAUGAACGCUGGCGGCGUGCCUAAUACAUGCAAGUCGAGCGAACAGACGAGGAGCUUGCUCCUCUGACGUUAGCGGCGGACGGGUGAGUAACACGUGGAUAACCUACCUAUAAGACUGGGAUAACUUCGGGAAACCGGAGCUAAUACCGGAUAAUAUAUUGAACCGCAUGGUUCAAUAGUGAAAGACGGUUUUGCUGUCACUUAUAGAUGGAUCCGCGCCGCAUUAGCUAGUUGGUAAGGUAACGGCUUACCAAGGCAACGAUGCGUAGCCGACCUGAGAGGGUGAUCGGCCACACUGGAACUGAGACACGGUCAAGACUCCUACGGGAGGCAGCAGUAGGGAAUCUUCCGCAAUGGGCGAAAGAUUGACGGAGCAACGCCGCGUGAGUGAUGAAGAUCUUCGGAUCGUAAAACUCUGUUAUUAGGGAAGAACAAAUGUGUAAGUAACUAUGCAAGUCUUGACGGUACCUAAUCAGAAAGCCACAGCUAACUACGUA